rnacentral:sRNA from 1 species
GGCUUAUUUGUCCUGGAGGAACAUAAGGCUCCUCUGGAUAGAGUCCAUUUCCCGUAGGAAAAUGGCAGUUUAUAAAGGUAAAAGGGGAAACCCCAUGUUAGAAUGAGGUAUUUAAUUUUAAUUGAUCUUGUUAAUUAUGCGAGCCAAAGGGGCUGCUAAUUGCUGCACUUCUGGAUUUUGAUAGCUGGACAUUGGUAGUCCAGGAGGAGGAAGUGGCUAGAUAAGGGAACAGACUUGGGGGGCCAGCUUCGAGGUUGUAAUCUAAUGGGUUUUUGUAAGGCAGAGGGAACAGAGAAGGGCUUGGCCUGCCACACUUGCCAGGCUCAAGCCGGCCUGAGUCCCCUCAAUGCUGCUCUACUCUACUGGAGAACCGAGCUCUGGAGUUGGAAUUUGGGCUGUCUGCUCCAGACCCAUGCAUGUUUGUUUAAACAUUCCCUCCAAAUCAAUCAGGCUGGCAGCCUAAUUCUAUGACAGAGAGCCAGAGAACAAAAUAGAACAUUCCAGGAAAAGACUCCGAGCUUGAGAGCCAGAAGGAAGUAACCAGGUUCCCACAGAGGUUACAAACGGCAAGGUGUCUCACUGAAUCCUCCUUUUCCUGGGCUUCUUUAUUGUCUUUAAAGAGCGAGGUUCACAGGACUUGGCUCUCACACAGAAGCACCAGGAGCACGGCAUGCUACGUUAUGUGCGUUACCGGCGAGCCGCGCUCAAUUCAAAUGGGAAGCACAUAGCACCAAGAAGGAAAGGCACAAGAGGAGGAAGGCUGCGUGUUCAUGAGGAAAGCUGCACUUCCAGACGUGCUGGAACCACGUUCCUUAGGGGACAGCGGCAUGGGCCUGGUGUUUACUUUUCUUUUCCAGCUCGCGAUUCUUGUCUCCACACUUGGAACCGAGAGCAGGAGCAGAGUGGCCGCUCAGUUUUGGACUCUCCUGUUUCUCCGCUUACAAACAGAACCACAAGGAAUGAGAAUAAAGCCAGGCAAUGUGAGCCCACAAAUUCUA